rnacentral:rRNA from 1 species
GAUGAACGCUGGCGGCGUGCCUAAUACAUGCCAGUCGAGCGAACGGACGAGAAGCUUGCUUCUCUGAUGUUAGCGGCGGACGGGUGAGUAACACGUGGAUAACCUACCUAUAAGACUGGGAUAACUUCGGGAAACCGGAGCUAAUACCGGAUAAUAUUUUGAACCGCAUGGUUCAAAAGUGAAAGACGGUCUUGCUGUCACUUAUAGAUGGAUCCGCGCUGCAUUAGCUAGUUGGUAAGGUAACGGCUUACCAAGGCAACGAUGCAUAGCCGACCUGAGAGGGGGAUAGGCCACACUGGAACUGAGACACGGUCCAGACUACUACGGGAGGCAGCAGUAGGGAAUGUUCCGCAAUGGGCGAAAGCCUGACGGAGCAACGCCGCGUGAGUGAUGAAGGUCUUCGGAUCGUAAAACUCUGUUAUUAGGGAAGAACAUAUGUGUAAGUAACUGUGCACAUCUUGACGGUACCUAAUCAGAAAGCCACGGCUAACUACGUG